AUUUUGUCCCUCAAAAUGAGAACGCAGGAUGCAUUUCUAAGGGAAGAAAGCCCCUAAAGGGGUUUGUCUAUUCUCAACUUUAAUGAAGUACACGUUUUAAAUAUUGCCUUUGUAAGCACAGCAGCAUUGGAAUUUCUUUUCAGCAUUUUAUUGAAAAGUAGGGAAAUAUUGGAGCAUUCCAACUGGGGAAGGAAACUAAGCUUCUCCUUUGAAGCUCCAGCUGCACUUAGGUCUAAUGCGAAAGGCAGUAUUUGCUUUAGCCACUUCCUGACUUUCUGAUGAGAUGUGGAAACUAGAAGUCAGCAGGAUUCCAAAGCUGGGAGUCAAACCCUACGUCCAAUCCCUUGGCUCAGUCCCUGUCUUCCAGAGAUGGCAUCCUGAGUAAAGACAAACACCGCUGGUUUUUCUCUUCCUCCAGAUCAGGUAGUGGAAUGACAAGUGACUGUCAUUCUGCUGCUAUGGAGAAUGUGCACUCAGAGGAAGAGAGCGGGUGAAUCUACAUGAUAGAGUGGAAGCCACAAAGGAAGAAGAAGAAGAGAUUCUAUCUGGGUAUGGAGAAUGAAAAAAAAAAAAGGUGUAAAGAGGGGUCUGGCUCUGUCAUCCAGGCUGGAGUGCAGUGACUCAAUCAUGGCUCACUGCAGCCUUAACUUCCGGACCUCAGGUGAUUCUCCCACCUCAGCCUGUCAAGUAGCUGGGACUACAGGUACACACCAUCAUUCACAGCUAAUUAUUUUGUUUUUUUUUUUUUUUAAAUAAAGACAGGGUUUCACCAUGUUGCCCAGGCUGGUCUCGAACUCAAGAACUGAGCUCAAGCAAUCUGCCUGCCUCCAUCUCCCAGACUGCUGGGACUACAGGUGCAAGCCACUGCACCCGGCUACUUUUUAAUUUUUCAAAAUACUGCAUUAAGAGUAUUUAUCUUGGCUGGGCGCGGUGGCUCACGCCUGUAAUCCCAG
rnacentral:lncRNA from 1 species